UUUUCAUAUUUGGGCCGUGCCGUGGCAAGAAAGAACGGGAUCCGCUAAGUUAAGCCUUCUGUUCCUUUCGAACGGAACGUAUAGUUACUCUGAAACAUUUACCUGCAUCCGAGAAGCCGCCGUACAUCGCUCUCAAAAAUCCUUGAAGUCAACGUGAGCCGGUGCACCAACUGCUGGACGGUUUCAUACACCUGCCGUUCACUUUGCAUCUGCUAGGGCCUACCAAGCAUCUCAAGGUCAAGAUGCACGGUUCAACGCUGACGACUGGCGCUGAGUGGUACGCUUCCAGUGUCGCGAACCAUCGUAAGCGGGCCGACGUGCGCCCGUAGUUCUGUGCAGCACUGUCUAGGCUGCCGGGCGCUGUUACCGAGUUGCCACGGCGUCUGGUUUAUCGCCGCUGUUGGCAUUCCUCUGCCUUGUUUCCCUGUCUUGUUUCGAAGAAACCCGAAGUAGCUGAAGUCCCGGAAGUACGUGCUUACGUGCAUACUUAUCUUUUAAUCAUGGCGUACUGUAGAAUUUUGGUCUUUUCUAAUAAAGCAACGUAAGCAGAA